CUUUUGUGUGUCACUAUCAGGAUACUUACCGAAGACGCCAGAUGCAACGCACCAUUACUCGCCAGAUGUCCUUUGAUUUGACCAAGCUUUUGGUUACAGAGGAUUGGUUCAGUGAUAUCAGUCCUCAGACCAUGAGAAGAUUACUAAACAUAGUUUCAGUGACAGGUCGCUUAUUGAGAGCAAAUCAAAUCACCUUCAAUUGGGAUAGGCUUGCUAGUUGGAUCAAUCUCACAGAGCAGUGGCCAUAUAGAACAUCGUGGCUCAUACUGCAUCUUGAAGAGACUGAAGGUGUUCCAGAUCAACUGACUUUAAAAACCAUCUAUGAGAGGUAGGUGGAUGGUAUGUAGUUUGAAUUAUUAAAAUAAUCAUUACAAAUGAUUAUUGGGGUAUCAUGGCUUUCAAACAGCGACGUAGUUGUAAUCUAGAAUUCCCACGGUCUAACUCUCUUCUGUUAACUUCUGGCUACUUGUAAAAUGACUUUCAUCACUAUUUAAUGCACCAUGUAUUCUUUGUGUUAAAACCAAGGGUAGAAUUCUGGAAUUCUUUUACAGGUAACUAUGUUUAUUUCUUGAUCUAACUUUCCUCUCUACAGUGGUCAAGCUAAGUUUGUCUAGUUAGAAAUCAGAAUCUGUGCUGAACUCUACAGACUGCCUUUACUCAUAAAGAUCUCUGCAGUUUUGGUGCUCUGUUAAUGAUGUGCUCAAGGAUGUAGCAGUCUUUUUACUGAAGUUAAAGAGUGUGAAGGUGGAACAUGAGUUCUUUCUUGGUCACUGAUACAAGUUGCUGUCUGUAAGUGCUAUCUACAUAUUACAUCUGAGAGCAAGAGAUGUUGCCAGUGAACGUGCCUGUUCACGGGCUGCUUGUGUGAAAGGAAAUGUGGAUAGUGAGAAGCGACCUGGUGGCAGUAGGAUGGUAGAAUUGUCAUUUUCUGACUGAAUAAAAUGACAAAUACUGCAGUCUUUUUAUUUUUAACACAGAUUUUCAAUUCCAGACCAGUUGGUAUGAGAAAAAUCCACAGAAGUACAGAUAGUGUCUCAUAUCAGACAUUUUUCUUUAAUGCUACUGAAGGAAAACCUCAGCUGUCUUUCCUUUUAAAGUUAUGAAACAGAUUUAAAUUAAGCCAUAUUAGGGCCAAACUGAUGGAUGAUUGUGUCCUGAGAAAGAAAUGCAGUCUGUGCUACUAUUUCUGAAAGAUUUUGACAGUGUAUCUAAGCAAAACUUUUUUUUUUAUGGAUACAGAUUCUUUUCUUCAGCUUUUCUUCAUUCCUUGUCACCUGCAUCAGGGGAAGGUCAGGCUGGGUAUUAGGAAUAGGUGCUUCACCAGAGGGUGGUGGGCAUGGAACAGGCUCAGCAGGGCAGUGGGCACGGCCCCAGGCUGCCAGAGCUCAAAGAGCACACUUGUACAUAGGGUUUGGAUUUUGAGUGGUCCUGUUUAGAUCCAGGGGUUGAACUUGAUGGUCUUUGUCUUCCUUCUUCCAGCUUAAGAUAUUCUGUAAUUCAUUGCUUAACAGCAGAGGAUAUUGUCAAGUAGUUGUUGGGCUUCUGCUGACAUUUUUGAAACAACCUUUUUAAUUGCACAUUUAGUCUGCUUCAUGCAAUCCCAUUUGUACUGGUGAAGAGUAAACAUGGGAGAUUCUUACUCUGAAAUAAAUAUGUUAGCACAUCCUUUUCACUAAUUCAAAUUCCAGUUCAUUUUUCACCCCAUUGACAAGUUGUACAUGCUUGCUUAACUCUCUUUCUUGAGAGAUCUUAAUUUUUUCUUCAUAUGGAGUUCUCUUGUAGCAAGGCAUCCAUUAGGAUGUUGGGAUAUUAUUAAUCUCUUGUGAGGUAUUUUAUUUUCCUAGAAAGCCUGUACAAUGUCUUUGCAUUACUUGCUACAAACAUAUACCUGAAGUUAGUUUAAGGUACUCAUUAGUACCCUUUGAUUAAUUAGUAUCAGCAGUACUAAAUCACUUGGAAAUGAACAAAGUCCAAAGCUGUCUUCAAGAAAUACCAACCUGUUUGAGGUUUCUGAGGAGCUGAAGGGGAUAUUAGAGACCUGAAUUGUUCUCAAAAACAUGUACUAGUGAUUCCAGUGUAACAUGAAAUCUGUAAUAAACCAACUUGAGGAGGAAAGAACAGGCACAACUGAAUGCAGAAGGCGUAUUCAGGUUCUGGAUUAUCAGUUGUUAGCACAGAUACCUGAAUGGUUGCCAGUGUCAGGGCUUAUUAGUUCAGGUGUGGAGGAGGUGCAUGAAACCUGGCAUGCAAUUUUGCCUCUUGCUAAGUGAGUUGCAUCUGGAAGCAGUAUUGCCACUUGAAUAGCUUGCAGAUUCAUGGCACGGACAUUAAUAAACUUAUAAAUAAAGUUUAUGGUGUUUAAAGGACCUGUAAUGUGAAGCAGCAGUGAAGAACCCUGUGCCAUCUCUUGGUUAAAACAAACAAAGCCUGCCAUAAUGACACCCUUGCUCCAUGCUUAGGAAUAGAGUUGAUGCAUCUCUCGCACUCUUUCGUUGAACCAGUGUAAGGAACUAGAUUUACAGCUCUCCUAAUAUAGUGACAAAGCUAAGAUCUCAUCUGCCUUAUGAUUUGAGCAAUUAUGUUUGCUGUGUGCUGAGUAUGAAAAGGUCUGUGAAAUCUCCUCUUGGAUUACCUGAUGCUCUGAAAAUUCUGUUUUAUUCAAAAUAACCCUUUCAGUGUAUAACAGUGUAUUACUGCUCUUCAUCUACAACUGUUUGAAGUAAUUUGGCUUGAAUCUCUGCUCCUGUAUCAAUUCAAAAUAGAGUAUUUAAUUUAGCUCCUCUUUUAGAACUUCAAUCUCUGUUUUCUUAGGUUUUCUAGUUGAUGGAACAGCUUUCCCAUUUGGAGUGCCAUGAAUAGAUACCAGAUUUCUGUACUUUUAUAGCUUCUACUCCUAUACCAAGUGCCUGUUACUUCUUCCCUGGCUUUUAUUCUGGAAGGAGUUACUUGAAAAUGUUUUGGUGUUUAGAACAGGAAGCAGAAUAUAAUUUUCCUAGCAUUAGAUAGUUUGCAUCAGAAUGCUUUUUUACUGUGGCAGUGCGCAUUUUCUUUGGUUUUGAUGCAUUUCUGAGCUGUAAAUGCAUGAGGAGAGAUGGCUGCUUGGACACCUCCUUUGAAGAUGGCAAUUUCAGAGAUUCUUUUUUAUAUGUAGAGUUUUCAACUUGUGAUUGCUUUCCCCCACAUGAAGGCUUUGAUGGCACAGUCGCUGUCCAGCGUUAGGUCUCCCUUCCAGUGAUUGACCCAUCGGGCAGGUCUGUUAUAGGUACCCUCAACUGAAAAGUUGCAACAGAUACUUCAGGUGGGCACUGAGGGUAUGACGAGAGGUGACAAACCCAUCGUACAGCUGUUGCACGGCUGUUUCUGGAGGCAGGCAGCUCCCAGCUGUUCCCUGCCAGCAGUUGGUGCCGGCAGGUGGCACUCGCGUGGUGCUCUGCCUGGCUCAUGGAGCUCUGCGCUCAGGUACAGCAUCAGUGAUCUUUUCCACCAGGUGCUUUAUUUUUCAGUGUUGAUUCAAAGAAUAAGCAAUACAGAAGGUAUGGCUAAGAUGAAAAGAAUCAAGUAGUUGAGCAUUAAGAAAUGGAAGAAUAAAAUAGCCUGUCUAUGCAGUUUGCAGGCAAUGUAGUAAAGGGAGGGCCAUUUGCUGUCACAUCUCAGUGCUGUCUGUUGCAGUUAGGAACACUGAACUUAGACAACUGAAAGCUGUUCUAGAACUAUUCAUCAGUUCCUUAGUGAAGCUAGAGUAGUCACCUCCUGUAUCUUUCACUUAGGUAGCGUUGUGCCUCUCCUGGGUGGUGGCAGCACCUUGUAGGCUAAUGCCUGUGAGUGCUGAGCACUCAGAGCAGUGUGGGAGCCCAGAGCUGCAGUGUUCCUGAGGGAGAAGAUAAGAUAUCUCAAAUUGAUUUUUGAAUAAAUAUACUUAUAGCUCUUUGCUUCCAGAUAAACUAAUACAUUCUUUUCAUGAAUGAUUGCUAGAGAGAAUAAACUUGCUAGUGCAUUUUCUGUAGGUACUGUCUAAACUGAUGUGAAGGACUACUAAUUAGUAUAAUUCUGUUGGGAGUAGUGUGUCCUUACUGUACCAUACUUCUCAGAGAUGGGAAAACAUUGGAUAUUGCAUGAGCAACAUUUUCCUGGGAUCUUCUUU